rnacentral:rRNA from 1 species
AAUCAACGCUGGCGGCGUGCCUAACACAUGCAAGUCGAACGCGGCUUUCCUCGCAAGGGGAAAGCUGAGUGGCAAACGGGUGAGUAACACGUGGGUGACCUGCCUUCGAGUGGGGGAGUAACGUUCCGAAAGGGACGCUAAUACCGCAUAACAUCCCGUCUUUUAACAGAUGGACAUCAAAGCCUGGACCGUAAGGCCAGGCGCUUGAAGAGGGCCGCGUCUGAUUAGCUAGUUGGGGGUAAUGGCUCACCAAGGCAACGAUCAGUAUCCGGCCUGAGAGGGCGGACGGACACACUGGGACUGAGACACGGCCCAGACUCCUACGGGAGGCAGCAGUGGGGAAUUGUUCGCAAUGGGCGCAAGCCUGACGACGCAACGCCGCGUGGAGGAUGAAG